AUAAAAAUAUUUUUUUACCUGAGUAGUAGUAGUUAUGUUCUUGAAACUUAAAAAAUUUGGCGGUAUUUUAGUCUAUUCAGAGGAACCUGUAGCAUAAUUGAUAAUCCACGUUGGACCUAACUUAAUUUAGUAAUUUCAGUUUGUAUACCGCCGUUAUUUGAAAAUUUUAUUAGAAUAAUAAUUUUCUAAUUUUAUAUAUUAAUUUAAAAACCAGGUCAAGGUGCAGCUUAUAAUUAAGUGUUUUAUGGGUUACAAUAAAUUUAUUUAUACGGUUUAGAAAAUGAAAUAUUUUUAUUAAGGUGGAUUUGAAAGUAAAUUUUUAAAGAUUAAAGAAUUGAUU
rnacentral:rRNA from 1 species